rnacentral:rRNA from 1 species
UCUGAUGUUAGCGGCGGACGGGUGAGUAACACGUGGAUAACCUACCUAUAAGACUGGGAUAACUUCGGGAAACCGGAGCUAAUACCGGAUAAUAUUUUGAACCGCAUGGUUCAAAAGUGAAAGACGGUCUUGCUGCCACUUAUAGAUGGAUCCGCGCUGCAUUAGCUAGUUGGUAAGGUAACGGCUUACCAAGGCAACGAUGCAUAGCCGACCUGAGAGGGUGAUCGGCCACACUGGAACUGAGACACGGUCCAGACUCCUACGGGAGGCAGCAGUAGGGAAUCUUCCGCAAUGGGCGAAAGCCUGACGGAGCAACGCCGCGUGAGUGAUGAAGGUCUUCGGAUCGUAAAACUCUGUUAUUAGGGAAGAACAUAUGUGUAAGUAACUGUGCACAUCUUGACGGUACCUAAUCAGAAAGCCACGGCUAACUACGUGCCAGCAGCCGCGGUAAUACGUAGGUGGCAAGCGUUAUCCGGAAUUAUUGGGCGUAAAGCGCGCGUAGGCGGUUUUUUAAGUCUGAUGUGAAAGCCCACGGCUCAACCGUGGAGGGUCAUUGGAAACUGGAAAACUUGAGUGCAGAAGAGGAAAGUGGAAUUCCAUGUGUAGCGGUGAAAUGCGCAGAGAUAUGGAGGAACACCAGCGGCGAAGGCGACUUCCUGGUCUGUAACUGACGCUGAUGUGCGAAAGCGUGGGGAUCAAACAGGAUUAGAUACCCUGGUAGUCCACGCCGUAAACGAUGAGUGCUAAGUG